rnacentral:rRNA from 1 species
GACGAACGCUGGCGGCGUGCUUUCUUUUGCAAGUCGAACGAUGAAGUUCCUUCGGGAAUGGAUUAGUGGCGAACGGGUGAGGAACACGUGAGGAAUCUGCCCAUCAUUUUGGGAUAACACCGGGAAACCGGUGCUAAUACCGAAUACUCCGUCUUGGCGGCAUCGCUAAGCCGGGAAAGAAUUUCGAUGAUGGAUGAUCUCGCGGCCUAUCAGCUAGUUGGUGAGGUAACGGCUCACCAAGGCAACGACGGGUAGCCGGCCUGAGAGGGCGACCGGCCACACUGGGACUGAGACACGGCCCAAACUCCUACGGGAGGCAGCAGUAGGGAAUAUUGGGCAAUGGGCGCAAGCCUGACCCAGCGACGCCGCGUGAGGGAUGAAGGUCUUCGGAUUGUAAACCUCUUUCAGUAGGGAAGAAGCGAAAGUGACGGUACCUAAAGAAAAAGCACCGGCUAACUAUGUG